GACCCCUCUCCUGUCUUUCUGAGUUGCAAUACAGAUACCACCCAAAUGAAGCACCUGGUGUUGCACAACAAAACUGCAACACCUGCCGGAGCUUAAACUGUGUAAUUUUUGUGAUAAGAAAAUCAUUUAUGAGUUUGAAGCUCGUUGGAGAAAUGGGGUUCCGGCGCUGGUAUACCGGAGGAGGCAAGCGCAUCUCUGCUCCUGGGCUCUCCUCUUCUAGGCUCGGUGAAGACGAAACUGAUGAUGCCACCGUCGGGGAGACGAAAUUGCUCGGCGAAGGAGGCAAACCCAUCUGCUGCUCCUGGGCUUUGCUCUUAAGCAGAGGCUCGGCGAAGAUGAAACUGAUGAUUCCACCGCCGGGGAGACGAAACUACUCCUGGGUUCAGAGCAAAUGGUGAGCCCAAGAGAGAAUAAAUGGUGAGCCUGAGUGAAAAAAUGUGCCAGCUCCCGCUAAAAUGAUUUUCUUUUGUUUCAGGCAACAUUUUUUUUUUCUGAAAUAGUUAUGUUGAGCUUCAAGUUAGCAGUUUUUAUGAGUCAGAGAGUCAUAACAAGGGCUCCGCCCCUUUUAUUGUUUUUCGGAUUUUCUCAGUAAAACAAGGGCUCCGCCCCUUUCUCU